rnacentral:lncRNA from 7 species
AGCAGUUUUGCAGAACUAUAUGUGAUAUGAUAAUGUUCUACUUGUUGAAUUAUAGAUAAAUGAGAUAUUUUGUUUAGUUGGCGUGUUAGUCAUAAUAGUCUAGAAUAAUAAUUAUAAAAACUAGUUGAAUGGCUUAUAUUCUUAUUCUAAGUCGUGGAUGUCCUAUAAUGGUGAGUCGGAAUUUUAUUAGAUUAUCAAUGUUAUGCUUUAGCUAAGGUUUAUAUAGGACUUGAGCUUGGUUUAUUAUUUUAAUGUUUGUGUUAGAUCCAGUUAAGUUGGAAAAACGUAUUAGUUGUACUUAGUAAUAUAUCUAUAUCUAAUAUUUGCUUAUGUGUGUUGUAAUGUGCCUCGCUGCUAAAUGUGCAAUUCUCUAUUGUGUAGCAUCAUCAUAGUUUGUGUUAUUUGCUAUAUGAUUCAUGCAUGUGCAUUAUGCAUCUCAUGAGGUACGCUAGUGGAACACGUGAUGCGGAGGACCAAAGAUGAGUCGACCACAAGAUGAUGCUGAUGGACGAACUUGAAGAUGGAUAAUCUAAACAAGUGCGAAGACAAAAGAUGGUCGCCACCUAACAAACACUAACCUAGUGUUAUCCAGGCAAGCCCCGGUACAUUUGCCACCUCCUUGCUGUUUUAAAAUCUUUAUCACCUUGUUUGAUGCAUUAGGUGAUAGGAGUUAUGUGCUAAACAAUUGAUGCAUUUCCUUCCUUAGAAAAUUGAUUACCCUUCCAUGACACCCUUUUAUAAAAAGGAUUUUUAUGAUGCUUAGCCUUGCUUUAGAAAAACAAAAUGUUUUGUUUUAAAACAAAAGUGAUGCUACAGAUUGGAUGGGAAGUUUUCAAAAUUAAAACUUGAUGGUGAAUCCAUCAUGGCCGUGAUGGGUUCAACAUCUGAAAAGAUGUACCUCUGCCAGGUACCAAACUUUGGGUUUUAAAUGAUAAAGCUGAGACCAGGCGGUUGACUUGCACGAGAAGGGAGUCUCGGUGUAGUGUCUCCAUCUGAGUCGAUUAAGGACCGUGCCGAUGUAGGCCUGAUGAUCGAGGACCUUUUAACUGGCCACAUGCCUCAUCAUGGGUAAGCUUUGCCUCGGGCAGACUAAUACCAGAAAGGCCAACACACAAUGGGAGUGGGGAGAUGUCGAGAGUAGCGUGUACCCUCCAUGGCAAGAGGCUGGACGGUGGUGUAUCUGUGCUCUCGGUUGGCGUGAACCUGGUCUGGUCUUAAGAAACCCAGUGGCGAGUUGACAUAUGCAAGGGUUAAGUGCUACAUAUGUCGUGUGAUUGGAGAUCCCCAGCUGGGUAUUAAUCGAUUCGGAUCGCCAUUACUUCUCGGACAUGAAGACUUGGUCACUGACUUACACGUAGCAAUCCAGUAAAGUAAAGGGGUGAUAAAAAACGGCUAGUGCAGGCCAAGUGCUUGAACUAGAAUAGAAAGAACUCUAGAUGCAGGUAACUUUACUUAACCUGACAAGUAAAAAAUGGAUUUUAAGGAUCCACUCAUAGUAAGCUUUUCUGCAAACAGAGUCUUUGAUUCUUGAUAAGCUUUACCUUGAUUCCCAAAAGCCAACAUAUCCUUAAGAGUCUUUUUCCUUAGACGGGUAAGACUUGCGAAAGUACACUUCGUACUCAGGGUUUUCGAACCCAUGUUGUCGCAGGUACUAGAAUUGUGCUGCUGUGGAUGGUGUUAAGCGCCGGUGGGCCCGACCUUCUUAUAAGUCUAAGUAACUCUUCUAUACUUCUUAUUGAGGAUGGUCACUUGAGCUAGCAUAUAUUUCAAACUUAUAAAUAAUUUAUAACAGUUCAAAGUUAAUUCUUUGAAUCACUUUUGUAAUCACUCCGAUCAUGUACAUUAUAAAACAUGAUGUAACUUGUAAAAUUUAGUAAUAAGAUUUCUAUU